CUCUUACCCAGAAACGAGAAUAUGCAUAUAAUUAGUAUAUUUGGAUAGAAAACACUCUAAAGUUUCUAAAACUGUUUGAAUGGUGUCUGUGAGUAUAACAGAACUCAUAUGGCAGGCCAAAACCUGAGAAGAUUCCAUGCAGGAAGUGCCCUGUCUGACAAUUUGUUGUCCUUCUAGGGCAUCUCUAUCAAAAAUACAGCAUCUCUGCAGUAACGUGACAUUUUCUAAGGCUUUCAUUGGCUUUCAGAAGGCGCCAGAAAGUGGAAUGAGAGCUCUGCAGUCUCUGGGCGAAAAAAGCAGGAGAUUUUUUACUACAUCAGUGAAGCACCUGGACAUCCACAUCAAGGACUGUCAUCCCUGCCUAACAUCAAACCUCAGAGGAGAGGAAUGGAGGGAAGAAUGGAUAGAAGGAUGUAGGGAUGAAGGGAUGGAAAAAGGGUUCAGAGAGAGGUCAAAGCUCUUUGAGGAAAAAGAGUGAAAAUGUGGCUCGUUCCUGAUUGUUGGCAUAGUAACCGCUGUGAUCGUUAUCAUCUUCAUUCUGUUGACCACUGGAGUCAUUCCCAUGAAUGUCACACCACCCUGAGACACAUGCAUGGACACACUAACAUUCACACUGUGUGUAAUGCAAUGUCUUUGUAUGCAUUAUAAAUAAAGCACACACAAAAUCAUGCAUACCCACUUUUACAAUGCAUGCAUACAAACAUGCGUACAGAGCAAACACAUAUCUGAAGCAUCAUGGGUUAUAUUGCACUUUAAGUAUGAAC
rnacentral:lncRNA from 1 species